rnacentral:rRNA from 1 species
UACAGAGGUCCCAAGCGUUACCGAGAAUCACUGGGUUUAAAGGGUGCGUAGGUGGUCCGUUAGGUCAGUUGUGAAAUCCCCGGGCUCAACCCGGGAACUGCUUCUGAUACUGGCGGACUUGAGGCCAGUAGAGGUCACUGGAACUGACGGUGGAGCGGUGAAAUGCGUAGAUAUCGUCAGGAACGCCGGUGGUGAAGACGGGUGACUGGGCUGGUUCUGACACUGAGGCACGAAAGCGUGGGGAGCGAACGGG